rnacentral:rRNA from 1 species
UACAGAGGGUGCAAGCGUUGCUCGGAAUUAUUGGGCGUAAAGGGCAGGUAGGUGGUCUCGUUUGUCUGAGGUGAAAGCCCCGAGCUUAACUUGGGAAGUGCCUCGGAAACGGCGAGACUAGAGUCUUGGAGAGGGUCGCGGAAUACCCGGUGUAGCGGUGAAAUGCGUAGAGAUCGGGUGGAAUACCAGAGGCGAAGGCGGCGACCUGGACAAGAGCUGACACUCAACUGCGAAAGCGUGGGGAGCAAACAGG